rnacentral:rRNA from 1 species
AUGGCCGGCGAGCAUCAGCAGAGCCAGGGCGCGGCCAAGGCCCUGUCCAAGGGCUCGCCGUCGCCGUCGUUCCGCCUGCGCAACGGCAGCCUGAACGCGGUGCGGCUGCGGCGCGUGUUCGACAUGUUCGACCGCAACGGCGACGGCGAGAUCACGGUGGACGAGCUGGCGCAGGCGCUGGACGCGCUCGGGCUGGAGGCGGACCGCGCCAGCCUGGCCGCCACCGUGGGCGCGCACGUGCCGCCCGGCGCCUCCGGGCUCCACUUCGAGGACUUCGAGGGCCUCCACCGCGCGCUCGGCGACGCGCUCUUCGGCGCCCUCGCCGACGACGCCGAGGAGGGCGGCGCCGGCGGGCAGGACGAGGAGGAGAUGCGGGAGGCCUUCAAGGUGUUCGACGUCGACGGCGACGGCUUCAUCUCGGCGUCGGAGCUGCAGGAGGUGCUCAAGAAGCUGGGCAUGCCCGAGGCCAGCAGCCUGGCCAACGUCCGGGAGAUGAUCUGCAACGUCGACCGCGACAGCGACGGCCGCAUCGACUUCGGCGAGUUCAAGAUCAUGAUGCAAGGGAUCAACGUCUGA